GACGAACGCUGGCGGCGUGCUUAACACAUGCAAGUCGAACGGAAAGGCCCUGCUUUUGUGGGGUGCUCGAGUGGCGAACGGGUGAGUAACACGUGAGUAACCUGCCCUUGACUUUGGGAUAACUUCAGGAAACUGGGGCUAAUACCGGAUAGGAGCUCCUGCUGCAUGGUGGGGGUUGGAAAGUUUCGGCGGUUGGGGAUGGACUCGCGGCUUAUCAGCUUGUUGGUGGGGUAGUGGCUUACCAAGGCUUUGACGGGUAGCCGGCCUGAGAGGGUGACCGGCCAAAUUGGGAUUGGAAUACGGCCCAGACUCCUAGGGGGGGGAGCAGGGGGGAAUAUUGCAAAAUGGGGGGAAGCCUGAUGCAGCAACGCCGGGUGGGGGAUGACGGCCUUCGGGUUGUAAACCGCUUUCGCCUGGGACGAAGGGGGGGUGACGGAAAUGGGUAAAGAAGCACCGGCUAACCACGU
rnacentral:rRNA from 1 species